UACGGAGGGGGGCUAGCGUUGUUCGGAAUUACUGGGCGUAAAGGGCGCGUAGGCGGCUCAUGAAGGCUGUGGUGAAAGUCCGGGGCUCAACCUCGGAUCGGCCGUGGCGACUCGUGGGCUGGAGCACUGUAGAGGCGGGUGGAAUUCCGGGUGUAGCGGUGGAAUGCGUAGAGAUCCGGAAGAACACCAGUGGCGAAGGCGGCCCGCUGGGCAGUGGCUGACGCUGAGGCGCGACAGCGUGGGGAGCAAACAGG
rnacentral:rRNA from 1 species